CCUACGGAGUUGCUGCAGUGGGGAAUAUUGGACAAUGGGCGAAAGCCUGAUCCAGCCAUGCCGCGUGUGUGAAGAAGGCCUUCGGGUUGUAAAGCACUUUCAGUGGGGAAGAAAGCCUUGGGGCUAAUACCCUCGAGGAAGGACAUCACCCACAGAAGAAGCACCGGCUAACUCCGUGCCAGCAGCCGCGGUAAUACGGAGGGUGCGAGCGUUAAUCGGAAUUACUGGGCGUAAAGCGCGCGUAGGCGGUCUGAUAAGCCGGUUGUGAAAGCCCCGGGCUCAACCUGGGAACGGCAUCCGGAACUGUCAGGCUAGAGUGCAGGAGAGGAAGGUAGAAUUCCCGGUGUAGCGGUGAAAUGCGUAGAGAUCGGGAGGAAUACCAGUGGCGAAGGCGGCCUUCUGGACUGACACUGACGCUGAGGUGCGAAAGCGUGGGUAGCAAACAGGAUUAGAUACCCCGGUAGUC
rnacentral:rRNA from 1 species